rnacentral:rRNA from 1 species
CCUACGGGAGGCAGCAGUGGGGAAUAUUGCGCAAUGGGGGAAACCCUGACCCAGCAACGCCGCGUGAAGGAAGAAGGCUUUCGGGUUGUAAACUUCUUUUAGCAGGGACGAAGGACGUGACGGUACCUGCAGAAAAAGCAACGGCUAACUACGUGCCAGCAGCCGCGGUAAUACGUAGGUUGCAAGCGUUGUCCGGAUUUACUGGGUGUAAAGGGCGUGUAGGCGGAGGCGCAAGUUGGGAGUGAAAUCUAUGGGCUCAACCCAUAAACUGCUCUCAAAACUGUGUCCCUUGAGUAUCGGAGAGGCAAGCGGAAUUCCUAGUGUAGCGGUGAAAUGCGUAGAUAUUAGGAGGAACACCAGUGGCGAAGGCGGCUUGCUGGACGACAACUGACGCUGAGGCGCGAAAGCGUGGGGAGCAAACAGGAUUAGAUACCCUGGUAGUC